GGGAUUGCCCUAGUAACGGCGAGUGAAGCGGCAAUAGCUCAAAUUUGAAAUCUGGCUCCUUUUAGGGGUCCGAGUUGUAAUUUGCAGAGGGUGCUUUGGCGUUGGUAGCGGUCUAAGUUCCUUGGAACAGGACAUCGCAGAGGGUGAGAAUCCCGUUUGUGGUCGCAUGCCUUCGCCGUGUAAAGCCCCUUCGACGAGUCGAGUUGUUUGGGAAUGCAGCUCUAAAUGGGAGGUAAAUUUCUUCUAAAGCUAAAUACUGGCCAGAGACCGAUAGCGCACAAGUAGAGUGAUCGAAAGAUGAAAAGCACUUUGGAAAGAGAGUCAAACAGCACGUGAAAUUGUUGAAAGGGAAGCGCUUGCAGUCAGACUUGCCCGUAGUUGCUCACCUAGGCUUUUGCCUGGGGCAUUCUUCUGCGGGCAGGCCAGCAUCAGUUUGGGCGGUCGGAUAAAGGUCUCUGUCAUGUAGCUUCCUUCGGGAAGAACUUAUAGGGGAGACGAAAUGCGACCAGCCUGGACUGAGGUCCGCGCUUCGGCUAGGAUGCUGGCGUAAUGGCUGUAAGCGGCCCGUCUUGAAACACGGACCAAGGAGUCUAACAUCUAUGCGAGUGUUUGGGUGUCAAGCCCGAGCGCGUAAUGAAAGUGAACGGAGGUGGGAACCCUUUGGGUGCACCAUCGACCGAUCCUGAUGUCUUCGGAUGGAUUUGAGUAAGAGCAUAGCUGUUGGGACCCGAAAGAUGGUGAACUAUGCUUGAAUAGGGUGAAGCCAGAGGAAACUCUGGUGGAGGCUCGCAGCGGUUCUGACGUGCAAAUCGAUCGUCAAAUUUGGGCAUAGGGGCGAA
rnacentral:rRNA from 1 species